AGGGUGCUUUUCUCCAAAUUGACAAUACACACAUUAUUUAUAGAAGAGAGGGAGUGAGCAGGAAAUGAGAGAGAGAUCUGGAUCACGAUAGCUUUUCUUCACCAUCAUCACAAAUGUUCUUUUUCUUUUCCGUUUUCACCAUGGGAGUUCACGGAAAACACUAGAAAAUCUCCAUUAAACACUCCAAACUUCACUGAUCUUCCUCACUAACCCAUAACAUCCUUUCACCAAUAUAUACCAUCUCAAGCUACAAAAAACACAGAUGAAGCAGUAGCCGAAUCAGUUGUAAAACGCAGCACUCAAACCAGCCAAAAACCUCAUUUAAAAGCACCUCGAAGCUUCCUCCGUUUUCGAGUCGAGUUCGGCAUCGUCGUUCGAGCUCCGGUCUUGGUUCGAGAUAUUCGUACAUUUAGCUCAAGUUUUCUGGCCAAUUGUUUUGUUUGUUUUGGUUGUUGAUUCAAAGAGCUGACCUUCAAUGGAGUUUUUUCAUGUUUAAAAUAAAGAAAGUUGCUAUUAAAAGACAAUGGGUAAGCAAAAAGGAAAGGGAUCUAAACAACUCGGCUGAGGUGAAUCCUCCCAGGGUGGAAAGUAGAAAAUGGUACGACUCACUCUCCAAGCGAGGCAAAACAUCAAGAAUAUGAGAAAGCCAAAAAAGCAGCUGAUAGGGCCAUUGACAUGUCGGGGAGUGAGUAUGAGCCCUCCCAGGAAAUCUCUUCGGAUCUAUACCUGAAUACAUCCCUUACUGGCCGGAUAGGCUUCGAUUGAGACACUCCUCCACCAUCAUCCACUGCCCAAGCACCAACUCAUGUUUCUUCUGGAUUGUCUGAGGGCUCAACAGCCAAUAGUGGGGAAUACUCCACCUCUCCCACAACUUCAUUAUCCGGGGAGGGUGCAGAAGGAGGUGAGGUGGAAGUACAGGGAAAUGAGGAGGUAGCUGAAGGAGGUGAGCCUCAGGUGGGAGGCGUUGCUAGAACUAGGAAGCCCGAAGCUUGGGAGGAUAGGUUUGUAAGUGAAGUGGCAUACCAUAAGUUUAGGGAGUGGUGGCCGGUGAGAAAGUUGAUACUGGAGCGGAGUUUCAUUGACAAAGACUUACUACCCCACAACCCCAAUAUGUAGAGACAAUUUAGAACUACAGUGGGUUGGGAGCACUUCCUAGAUGCUUGUGUGGAUGCCAACGAACACUUGGUCAAGGAGUUUUAUUGCAAUGUAGCCCACAUCAAAAAGGGCUCCAAAGUGACCAAGGUGCGGAACUUCAAGGUGUUAUUUGAUGGGAAGUCGAUUAAUGAAUAUCUGGGCUUCAAUGAGGAGGAUGAGACUCUGUAUAUAUGGAGAUAGGCAAGGAGGUCCGUCCAUGGCUAGCAUAGUACCUGGCAAUCCCAAGUACCGUCCCCGAUUGGUUGAUUGCUGGGGUCAAAAUAUUGAGAAGGACCUUGAACUUUGAAGCGAGGGGAUGGGAGAGUUUUGUUUGCAGCCGGUUGGACCCUACCACUCAUGACAACACCCUUCCUCUCCACCAGACUGUAUUGGUUGCUUCGAUUAUGGCAGGGUAACCC